rnacentral:rRNA from 1 species
UGGCUCAGAACGAACGCUGGUGGCGUGUCUUAUACAUGCAAGUCGAGCGAGGCAGCAAUGCCGAGCGGCGAACGGGUGAGUAACGCGUAAGCAAUCGUGCCCCAUAUCACGGAAAUACCCGUGCCAACGCGCGGUUAAUGUCCAGGAGAGUGGCCUUCUGCAUGGAGGGUUGACUAGAGAUUUAUCGGUAUGGGAUGAGCUUGCGUCCGAGUUAGCUAGUUGGCGGGGCAACGGCCACCAAGGCAACGAUCGGUAGCCGGCCUGAGAGGGUGAUCGGCCACAUUGGGACUGAGAUACGGCCCAGACUCCUACGGGAGGCAGCAGUAGGGAAUAUUGCACAAUGGGGGAAACCCUGAUGCAGCAACGCCACGUGUGGGAAAGAAGCAUUUCGGUGUGUAAACCACUGUCAUGAGGGAAUAAGGCCCAGUUUAGGCUGGGAUUGAAUGUACCUUGAGAGGAAGCACCGGCAAACUUCGUGCCAGCCGCUGC